AGCUACAACUAAAUGGCGACUUGUAGUGACCUAAGAUUUGAAUUUGUCGGUUUUGAGUGAAGGAAAACAACUCCUCUGAUUCCUCUUCUGAUUCUCAAGGGCAUGCUAUUGAAACCAUGAGGACAACACCAAAUUCACAGAAGGCCAGCAUGACUGCAAAUCUCCAGGCUCAAGAAGAUCAGCAAAAAGGAGAACACAAGGUGGGCAGCCCUGAAAAGAGUGAAGAAAUUCAAAAACCAUCCCAGAACGUUGGGAGACAAGCAAGUUAUAAAAGAGCGCUUGGUGAUCUAGAGGAUGAACAAGAGAAGCUCUCUCCACCAAGAAAAAAGGUUCCGUCUCCUUACCUUGCCAGCAGUCUAGAGGCAUAAUCCUAAAACGUUUAGCUAUGCAGCCUCUAAUUAUAUUUCAUGGAAUUAUAUAUUUUGGUUGGUACUUUCUAUUCACAUUGCUUAUUUGAAGGCUGAGGCCUUAUCAAGACACUCCUUUUUAAGGACUAUUGUGAUCUUACGUUAUGUUUUUUAUAUGCUCAAUUUUAUGAAAUAUGAAUAUCAUAUCUGAUGGCUGAAGAAAUGCAAAGUAUAAUGCCACCAGAUGUCUGUCCCUUAGACCAGGGCUUCUUAAACUUUUCCAUUCAUACUCCCUUUUGCCUGAUAAAUUUUACAUGACUCCGGGUAUAUAGGUAUAUAUAAAAUAAGUAUGAAAAUCUAACAUUUACUGAUAAGAAAUCAGCAUUUGUAAGGUUUGCUAAACAGGCUGAUUUUCCUUUUUAUGAAGUACAGCUGACGCAUCUGCAUAGUCCACUGUAAACACUGCACAAUAGAUUUGUGUAAAUGUCAAAAAUAGCUACUAUGUGGUGUUCAGAAAACUUAUUGUUUCCAAAUUUUUCAGUACCCCAACAUUGAACUAAAGGGACCCCAUUUGGGACCGGGAGCCACAGUUUAAGAAGCAGUGCCUUAGACUAUGUGCAGAAAGCUUUCUCAAAUUAUAGAUGAGUUUGGGUACAUUGCCCAGGUCAGGAAACAGAUAAGUAUAGGUAAACAUAUUUUGGGUUCAUCUACACACUUGACCAUU